UGGGGAAUUUUGGACAAUGGGCGAAAGCCUGAUCCAGCCAUGCCGCGUGCAGGAUGAAGGCCUUCGGGUUGUAAACUGCUUUUGUACGGAACGAAAAGCCUCUUUCUAAUAAAGAGAGGUCAUGACGGUACCGUAAGAAUAAGCACCGGCUAACUACGUGCCAGCAGCCGCGGUAAUACGUAGGGUGCGAGCGUUAAUCGGAAUUACUGGGCGUAAAGCGUGCGCAGGCGGUGAUGUAAGACAGAUGUGAAAUCCCCGGGCUCAACCUGGGAACUGCAUUUGUGACUGCAUCGCUGGAGUGCGGCAGAGGGGGAUGGAAUUCCGCGUGUAGCAGUGAAAUGCGUAGAUAUGCGGAGGAACACCGAUGGCGAAGGCAAUCCCCUGGGCCUGCACUGACGCUCAUGCACGAAAGCGUGGGGAGCAAACAGG
rnacentral:rRNA from 1 species